AUUGAACGCUGGCGGCAUGCCUUACACAUGCAAGUCGAACGGCAUCGCGGGAAAGCUUGCUUUCCUGGCGGCGAGUGGCGAACGGGUGAGUAACACAUCGGAACGUACCGGCUAGUGGGGGAUAACCCGUCGAAAGACGGGCUAAUACCGCAUACGCUCUUCGGAGGAAAGCAGGGGACCUUUGGGCCUUGCGCUAGCCGAGCGGCCGAUGUCCGAUUAGCUAGUUGGUGGGGUAAAGGCCUACCAAGGCGACGAUCGGUAGCGGGUCUGAGAGGACGAUCCGCCACACUGGGACGGAGACACGGCCCAGACUCCUACGGGAGGCAGCAGUGGGGAAUCUUGGACAAUGGGGGCAACCCUGAUCCAGCAAUGCCGCGUGGGUGAAGAAGGCCUUCGGGUUGUAAAGCCCUUUCGGCAGGGAAGAAAUCGGCGGGGCGAAUAACCCUGCUGGAUGACGGUACCUGCAGAAGAAGCACCGGCUAACUACGUG
rnacentral:rRNA from 1 species